GAGUGCGCGUGCCGUACCAAUACGGUAUGGCGCACGGCGCACGGGUGCGUAACACGUGGGCAAUCUGCCCUCCGGUGGGGAAUAACCCCGCGAAAGCGGGGCUAAUUCCGCAUAGCACUCCCUUCACUCCGGUUCGGGGAUUCAAAACAGUGAUGCGCCGGAGGAGGAGCCCGCGCCCGAUUAGCUACUUGGUGAGGUAACGGCUCACCAAGGCAAUGAUCGGUAGCUGGUCUGAGAGGAUGGCCAGCCACACUGGAACUGAGACACAGGCCAGACUCCUACAGGAGGCACCAGUGGGGAAUCUUGCGCAAUGGGCGAAAGCCUGACGCAUCGACGCCGCGUGGGGGAUGAAGCUUCUCGGAGUGUAAACCCCUUUCGACCGGGACGAAUGCCCGCAAGGGAGUGACGGUACCGGUAUAAGAAGCCCCAGCUAACUACGUG
rnacentral:rRNA from 1 species